rnacentral:rRNA from 1 species
UACGGGGGGUGCAAGCGUUAUCCGGAUUUAUUGGGUUUAAAGGGUGCGCAGGCGGAGGCACAAGUCAGCGGUCAAAGCCCGGGGCUCAACCCCGGCCCGCCGUUGAAACUGGCAGUCUCGAGUUGGAGAGAAGUAUGCGGAAUGCGCGGUGUAGCGGUGAAAUGCAUAGAUAUCGCGCAGAACUCCGAUUGCGAAGGCAGCAUGCCGGCUCCACACUGACGCUGAGGCACGAAAGCGUGGGUAUCGAACAGG